rnacentral:rRNA from 1 species
UGCAAGUCGAACGAUGACCCCCAGCUUGCUGGGGUGAUUAGUGGCGAACGGGUGAGUAACACGUGAGUAACCUGCCCCCGACUCUGGGAUAAGCCCGGGAAACUGGGUCUAAUACUGGAUAUGCACCGUGAACCGCAUGGUUCUUGGUGGAAAGAUUUUUCGGUUGGGGAUGGACUCGCGGCCUAUCAGCUUGUUGGUGAGGUAAUGGCUCACCAAGGCGACGACGGGUAGCCGGCCUGAGAGGGUGACCGGCCACACUGGGACUGAGACACGGCCCAGACUCCUACGGGAGGCAGCAGUGGGGAAUAUUGCACAAUGGGCGAAAGCCUGAUGCAGCGACGCCGCGUGAGGGAUGACGGCCUUCGGGUUGUAAACCUCUUUCAGUAGGGAAGAAGCGAAAGUGACGGUACCUGCAGAAGAAGCGCCGGCUAACUACGUGCCAGCAGCCGCGGUAAUACGUAGGGCGCAAGCGUUAUCCGGAAUUAUUGGGCGUAAAGAGCUCGUAGGCGGUUUGUCGCGUCUGCCGUGAAAGUCCGAGGCUCAACCUCGGAUCUGCGGUGGGUACGGGCAGACUAGAGUGAUGUAGGGGAGACUGGAAUUCCUGGUGUAGCGGUGAAAUGCGCAGAUAUCAGGAGGAACACCGAUGGCGAAGGCAGGUCUCUGGGCAUUAACUGACGCUGAGGAGCGAAAGCAUGGGGAGCGAACAGGAUUAGAUACCCUGGUAGUCCAUGCCGUAAACGUUGGGCACUAGGUGUGGGGGACAUUCCACGUUUUCCGCGCCGUAGCUAACGCAUUAAGUGCCCCGCCUGGGGAGUACGGCCGCAAGGCUAAAACUCAAAGGAAUUGACGGGGGCCCGCACAAGCGGCGGAGCAUGCGGAUUAAUUCGAUGCAACGCGAAGAACCUUACCAAGGCUUGACAUGUGCCAGACCGCCGUGGAAACACGGUUUCCCCUUUGGGGCUGGUUCACAGGUGGUGCAUGGUUGUCGUCAGCUCGUGUCGUGAGAUGUUGGGUUAAGUCCCGCAACGAGCGCAACCCUCGUUCUAUGUUGCCAGCGCGUCAAGGCGGGGAC